GACGAACGCUGGCGGCGUGCCUAAUACAUGCAAGUUGAGCGAUGAAGAUUGGUGCUUGCACCAAUUUGAAGAGCAGCGAACGGGUGAGUAACGCGUGGGGAAUCUGCCUUUGAGCGGGGGACAACAUUUGGAAACGAAUGCUAAUACCGCAUAACAACUUUAAACAUAAGUUUUAAGUUUGAAAGAUGCAAUUGCAUCACUCAAAGAUGAUCCCGCGUUGUAUUAGCUAGUUGGUGAGGUAAAGGCUCACCAAGGCGAUGAUACAUAGCCGACCUGAGAGGGUGAUCGGCCACAUUGAGACUGAGACACGGCCCAAACGCCUACGGAAGGCAGCAGUAGGGAAUCUUCGGCAAUGGACGAAAGUCUGACCGAGCAACGCCGCGUGAGUGAAGAAGGGUUUCGGAUCGUAAAACUCUGUUGGUAGAGAAGAACGUUGGUGAGAGUGGAAAGCUCAUCAAGUGACGGUAACUACCCAGAAAGGGACGGCUAACUACGUG
rnacentral:rRNA from 1 species